rnacentral:rRNA from 1 species
UACGUAGGGUGCAAGCGUUGUCCGGAAUUAUUGGGCGUAAAGAGCUCGUAGGCGGUCUGUCGCGUCUGCUGUGAAAACUCAGGGCUUAACCCUGAGCUUGCAGUGGGUACGGGCAGACUAGAGUGCGGUAGGGGAGACUGGAAUUCCUGGUGUAGCGGUGAAAUGCGCAGAUAUCAGGAGGAACACCGGUGGCGAAGGCGGGUCUCUGGGCCGUAACUGACGCUGGAGGAGCGGAAAGCAUGGGGAGCGAACAGG